GACGAACGCUGGCGGCGUGCUUAACACAUGCAAGUCGAACGGAAAGGCCCUGCUUUUGUGGGGUGCUCGAGUGGCGAACGGGUGAGUAACACGUGAGUAACCUGCCCUUGACUUUGGGAUAACUUCAGGAAACUGGGGCUAAUACCGGAUAGGAGCUCCUGCUGCAUGGUGGGGGUUGGAAAGUUUCGGCGGUUGGGGAUGGACUCGCGGCUUAUCAGCUUGUUGGUGGGGUAGUGGCUUACCAAGGCUUUGACGGGUAGCCGGCCUGAGAGGGUGACCGGCCACAUUGGGACUGAGAUACGGCCCAGACUCCUACGGGAGGCAGCAGAGGGGAAUAUUGCACAAUGGGCGGAAGCCUGAUGCAGCAACGCCGCGUGCGGGAUGACGGCCUUCGGGUUGUAAACCGCUUUCGCCUGUGACGAAGCGUGAGUGACGGUAAUGGGUAAAGAAGCACCGGCUAACUACGUGCCAGCAGCCGCGGUGAUACGUAGGGUGCGAGCGUUGUCCGGAUUUAUUGGGCGUAAAGGGCUCGUAGGUGGUUGAUCGCGUCGGAAGUGUAAUCUUGGGGCUUAACCCUGAGCGUGCUUUCGAUACGGGUUGACUUGAGGAAGGUAGGGGAGAAUGGAAUUCCUGGUGGAGCGGUGGAAUGCGCAGAUAUCAGGAGGAACACCAGUGGCGAAGGCGGUUCUCUGGGCCUUUCCUGACGCUGAGGAGCGAAAGCGUGGGGAGCGAACAGGCUUAGAUACCCUGGUAGUCCACGCUGUAAACGGUGGGUACUAGGUGUGGGGUCCAUUCCACGGGUUCCGUGCCGUAGCUAACGCUUUAAGUACCCCGCCUGGGGAGUACGGCCGCAAGGCUAAAACUCAAAGGAAUUGACGGGGCCCCGCACAAGCGGCGGAGCAUGCGGAUUAAUUCGAUGCAACGCGUAGAACCUUACCUGGGUUUGACAUGGAUCGGGAGUGCUCAGAGAUGGGUGUGCCUCUUUUGGGGUCGGUUCACAGGUGGUGCAUGCCUGUCGUCAGCUCGUGUCGUGAGAUGUUGGGUUAAGUCCCGCAACGAGCGCAACCCUUGUUCACUGUUGCCAGCACGUUAUGGUGGGGACUCAGUGGAGACCGCCGGGGUCAACUCGGAGGAAGGUGGGGAUGACGUCAAGUCCUCAUGCCCCUUAUGUCCAGGGCUUCACGCAUGCUACAAUGGCUGGUACAGAGAGUGGCGAGCCUGUGAGGGUGAGCGAAUCUCGGAAAGCCGGUCUCAGUUCGGAUUGGGGUCUGCAACUCGACCUCAUGAAGUCGGAGUCGCUAGUAAUCGCAGAUCAGCAACGCUGCGGUGAAUACGUUCCCGGG
rnacentral:rRNA from 1 species